GGCCAUGAGUCGUUCAGCGGCCCAGGACGUCGCACGGGGGUUCGCCCCUACGCGGAAACCCCGGUUCGAAUCCGGGCCAUGGCCA
rnacentral:tRNA from 2 species